rnacentral:rRNA from 1 species
UAGGGAAUCUUCGGCAAUGGACGAAAGUCUGACCGAGCAACGCCGCGUGAGUGAAGAAGGUUUUCGGAUCGUAAAACUCUGUUGUUAGAGAAGAACAAGGACGUUAGUAACUGAACGUCCCCUGACGGUAUCUAACCAGAAAGCCACGGCUAACUACGUGCCAGCAGCCGCGGUAAUACGUAGGUGGCAAGCGUUGUCCGGAUUUAUUGGGCGUAAAGCGAGCGCAGGCGGUUUCUUAAGUCUGAUGUGAAAGCCCCCGGCUCAACCGGGGAGGGUCAUUGGAAACUGGGAGACGUGAGUGCAGAAGAGGAGAGUGGAAUUCCAUGUGUAGCGGUGAAAUGCGUAGAUAUAUGGAGGAACACCAGUGGCGAAGGCGGCCCCCUGGACGAAGACUGACGCUCAGGUGCGAAAGCGUGGGGGGCUAACAGG